ACCAGUGUGGUAUAGUGGUUUGAAUAUUUGACUAGGACAUCUGGAGACCAGGGUUCGAAUCCCUGCUCAGCUG